rnacentral:rRNA from 1 species
UAACGCGUGAGGAACCUGCCUUUCGGAGGGGGACAACAGUUGGAAACGACUGCUAAUACCGCAUGAUACAUCGAAGCCGCAUGGCUUUGAUGUCAAAGAUUUAUCGCCGAAAGAUGGCCUCGCGUCUGAUUAGCUUGUUGGUGAGGUAACGGCUCACCAAGGCGACGAUCAGUAGCCGGCCUGAGAGGGCGGACGGCCACACUGGGACUGAGACACGGCCCAGACUCCUACGGAAGGCAGCAG